GGUUGACCUCGGAUCAGGUAGGAAUACCC
rnacentral:rRNA from 1 species